UUAGUCCGCGUGGAAGGAGCCAGCCAAGUGGUUGUGUAGUUGCGUUUCCGAAACCGGGAGCGCUUGCAGCAUGGCUGACCAACAGACUGAAGAGCAGAUUACAGAAUUCAAAGAAGCUUUUUCGCUAUUUGACAAAGAUGGUGAUGGAACUAUAACAACAAAGGAAUUGGGAGCUGUACUGAGGUCUCUUGGACAGAAUCCUACAGAAGCAGAGUUACAGGAUGUAAUUAAUGGAGUAGAUGCUGAUGGUAAUGGCACAAUUGACUUCCCUGAAUUUCUGACAAAGGUGGAAAGAAAAAUGAAAAACACAGACAGUGAAGAAGAAAUUAGAGAAGCAUUCCGUGUGUUUGAUAAGGAUGGCAAUGGCUAUAUUGGUGCUGCAGAACUUUGUCAUGUGAUGACAAACCUUGGAGAGAAGUUAAGUUGAUGAAAUGAUCAGGGAAGCAGAUAUUGAUGGCAAUGGUCAAGUAAACCAUGAAGAGUUUGCAUAAGUGAUGACAGCAAAGUGA